UACGGAGGGGGCUAGCGUUGUUCGGAAUUACUGGGCGUAAAGCGCACGUAGGCGGCUUUGUAAGUUAGAGGUGAAAGCCCGGGGCUCAACUCCGGAAUUGCCUUUAAGACUGCAUCGCUAGAAUUGUGGAGAGGUAAGUGGAAUUCCGAGUGUAGAGGUGAAAUUCGUAGAUAUUCGGAAGAACACAGUGGCGAAGGCGACUUACUGGACACAUAUUGACGCUGAGGUGCGAAAGCGUGGGGAGCGAACAGG
rnacentral:rRNA from 1 species